rnacentral:rRNA from 1 species
GACGCAACGACGAAAACCUUAACCUACCCUUGACAUGUCUAGGAAUACCUGAAGAGAUUUGGGAGUGCUCGAAAGAGAACCAGAACACAGGUGCUGCAUGGCCGUCGUCAGCUCGUGUCGUGAGAUGUUGGGUUAAGUCCCGCAACGAGCGCAACCCUUGUCAUUAGUUGCUACGUAAGGGCACUCUAAUGAGACUGCCGGUGACAAACCGGAGGAAGGUGGGGAUGACGUCAGGUCAUCAUGGCCCUUAUGGGUAGGGCUACACACGUCAUACAAUGGCCGGUACAGAGGGCUGCCAACCCGCGAGGGGGAGCUAAUCCCAGAAAACCGGUCGUAGUCCGGAUCGCAGUCUGCAACUCGACUGCGUGAAGUCGGAAUCGCUAGUAAUCGCGGAUCAGCUUGCCGCGGUGAAUACGUUCCCGGGUCUUGUACACACCGC